CUACAUGUGGAAUUGUCUCCUCCCCAUUCCUUUAGGAGCAGGAAUAUGUCCAUAACAUGCUACAUUAACAGAGUUCUAGGACUGCUAUUUUAGUAGAGGUUGAGCAGUAGUAUAUUUCUCCUACAAAA